rnacentral:snRNA from 1 species
AUGCUCACUUCAGUAGCACANACACUAAAAUUGGAAUGAUACAGAGAAGGUUAGCAUGGCCCCUGUUCCAGAAUGACACACAAAUUCAUGAAGCAUUCCAUUAAAAA